rnacentral:rRNA from 1 species
AUACGGAGGAUCCGAGCGUUAUCCGGAUUUAUUGGGUUUAAAGGGUGCGCAGGCGGCCAUUUAAGUCAGCGGUUAAAUCGUGGGGCUCAACCCCAUUCUGCCGUUGAUACUGGGUGGCUUGAUUGCGGUCGAGGUUGGCGGAAUUCGUUGUGUAGCGGUGAAAUGCAUAGAUAUGACGAAGAACUCCGAUUGCGUAGGCAGCUGACCAGAUCGCAAAUGACGCUCAUGCACGAAAGUGCGGGGAUCGAACAGGAUUAGAUACCCUGGUAGUCCGCACAGUAAACGAUGAAUACUUGUUUUCGGCGAUAUAAUGUCGGAGGCAAAGCGAAAGCGAUAAGUAUUCCACCUGGGGAGUACGCCGGCAACGGUGAAACUCAAAUGAAUUGGCGGGG